CACUGAACGUUUGGUUUCUUCCUUUUCCUUUCUAGGACAUGGAAAACAAAAUCAGAAGUACACUGAAUGAGAUUUAUUUUGGAAAAACAAAGGACAUCGUGAAUGGGCUGAGGUCUGUGCAGACUUUUGCAGACAAAUCAAAACAAGAAGCUCUUAAAAACGACCUGGUGGAGGCUUUGAAGAGAAAGCAGCAAAGUUAAAGUCCUCUCCAUGCUAACAAGACAUGCCAUGCACUCGUUAGAUUCCUUUCUUAGAGAACUCAUCCCUCCCCUUUGCCCUUUUCUGUUCCGUCACGUCACGAUUUGCAUUCAGUACUACCCAUGCAACGCCAUCUCCUCCCCAUGAAUAAAGCUGUACAAACUUU